rnacentral:rRNA from 1 species
UUGAACGCUGGCGGCAGGCCUAACCCCUUCAAGUCGGGCGGAUGAAGGGAGCUUGCUCCUGGAUUCAGCGGCGGACGGGUGAGUAAUGCCUAGGAAUCUGCCUGGUAGUGGGGGAUAACGUCCGGAAACGGGCGCUAAUACCGCAUACGUCCUGAGGGAGAAAGUGGGGGAUCUUCGGACCUCACGCUAUCAGAUGAGCCUAGGUCGGAUUAGCUAGUUGGUGGGGUAAAGGCCUACCAAGGCGACGAUCCGUAACUGGUCUGAGAGGAUGAUCAGUCACACUGGAACUGAGACACGGUCCAGACUCCUACGGGAGGCAGCAGUGGGGAAUAUUGGACAAUGGGCGAAAGCCGGAUCCAGCCAUGCCGCGUGUGUGAAGAAGGUCUUCGGAUUGUAAAGCACUUUAAGUUGGGAGGAAGGGCAGUAAGUUAAUACCUUGCUGUUUUGACGUUACCAACAGAAUAAGCACCGGCUAACUUCGUG